GGCUGAAGGCUCUGGACUUAUGAGUAAUUUGAUCUAAUUGAUAAUCAUAGUGUGUGCAUACAAGUGUUAGGUGAUAUUAAAUUAUUACCAACUGAUGUACAAGAAUCAGUAGCAAGAGCUGUGACAAUGACUAAAAACAAUAACAAGGUAUAUCUUAAUGUGUGUUUCUCUUAUGCAUCAAGAUAUGAGAUUACUGAUACUAUACAGUCACUGGUUGAUGGAUCUCAUGAUGGUAUAUACU